UACAGAGGGGCGAAGCAGUUGUUCGGUGAAUUACUGGGCGUAAAGGGCGCGUAGGCGGCCUUCUAAGUCGAACGUGAAAUCCCCGGGCUCAACCCGGGAACUGCGUCCGAUACUGGAAGGCUUGAAUCCGGGAGAGGGAUGCGGAAUUCCAGGUGUAGCGGUGAAAUGCGUAGAUAUCUGGAGGAACACCGGUGGCGAAGGCGGCAUCCUGGACCGGCAUUGACGCUGAGGCGCGAAAGCCAGGGAGCAACGGG
rnacentral:rRNA from 1 species